rnacentral:rRNA from 1 species
CGAACGGGUGGAGUAACGCGUAGGUAACCUGCCUACUAGCGGGGGAUAACAUGGAAACGAUAGCUAAUACCGCAUAACAGCAUUUAACACAUGUUAGAUGCUUGAAAGGAGCAAUUGCUUCGCUAGUAGAUGGACCUGCGUUGUAUUAGCUAGUUGGUGAGGUAACGGCUCACCAAGGCGACGAUGCAUAGCCGACCUGAGAGGGUGAUCGGCCACACUGGGACUGAGACACGGCCCAGACUCCUACGGGAGGCAGCAGUAGGGAAUCUUCGGCAAUGGGGGCAACCCUGACCGAGCAACGCCGCGUGGAAGUGAAGAAGGUUUUCGGAUCGUAAAGCUCUGUUGUAAGAGAAGAACGUGUGUGAGAGUGGAAAGUUCACACAGUGACGGUAACUUACCAGAAAGGGACGGCUAACUACGUGCCAGCCGCGGC